rnacentral:rRNA from 1 species
UCGCCUGUUUAUCAAAAACAUAGCUAUUAGAAUAAAAUAAUAGUGAAUUCUGCUCAAUGAAUUUUAAAUAGCCGCAGUACACUGACUGUGCAAAGGUAGCAUAAUCAGUUGGCUUAUAAUUGAAGUCUUGUAUGAAUGAAUAAAUGGGGAGUAACUGUAUCCAGAAUAGAAAAUGAAAUUACUAAGUGAGUGCAAAUUCUUACAAAUACAUAAUAGACGAGAAGACCCUAGAAAUUUUUAAUAUCUGCAUAAUUUUUUUUUGUUGGGGCAACAGUGUAACAGACAAAUUUACAUUAUGAUACAAGAAAUUUAUUUGAAAGAAUGAAAUUACUCUAGGGAUAACAGCGUAAUAUUUAUAUGUUUGCGACCUCGAUGUUGGACUAGGAAACGAAUAC